rnacentral:rRNA from 1 species
AGUGUAGGAGUGAAAGGCCAAUCAAACUUGGAGAUAGCUCGUACUCCCCGAAAUGCAUUUAGGUGCAGCCUCUGAUAAGAACGUAUGAGGUAGAGCGACUGAUUGGAUGCGAGGGCUUCACCGCCUGUCAAGUCCUGACAAACUCCGAAUGCCUUGAGAUGAUCCCCGGCAGUGAGGGCGCGGGUGCUAAGGUCCACGUCCGAGAGGAGAACAAUCCAGACCGUCAGCUAAGGCCCCGAAAGGGCAGUUAAGUUGGACUAACGAAGUGCGGUCGCAGAGACAGCUAGGAUGUUGGCUCGGAAGCAGCCAUUCAUUCAAAGAGUGCGUAACAGCUCACUAGUCGAGCGACCGUGCAUGGAUAAUAAGCGGGCAUGAAACUGUCUGCCGAAGCUGCGGAUUAAUGGUAGGGGAGCAUUCCGGCUGCAUAGAAGGCCCUCCGCGAGGAGAGCUGGAGCGCCCGGAAAAGCAAAUGUAGGAAUGAGUAACGACAAGGGGGGCGAGAGGCCCCCCCGCCGAAAGACCAAGGGUUCCUGAUCAACGCUAGUCGGAUCAGGGUGAGUCUGGGACUAAGGAUAAGGCGAGAGCCGAAGCCGAUGGCAGAUCCGGUCAAUAUUCCGGAACCUGUCUUGCGGGCGAAGCGGGGACGAAGCGAGCAAGGUGCGGCCCGGUGACGGAUAUCCGGGUUGAAGGCGGAAGGCGACGAUCGGUACAGGCAAAUCCGUACCGAGAGCCGGAAACCGAGAGUACGCCGACCCUCCGGGGGAGGCGAUAAGCACCGGAAGCGCUUCCAAGAAAAACCGCUAAGCAUAACCGCUGGACAGCCAGUACCGAAAACCGACACAGGUGGUCCGGUAGAGAAUACCAAGGCGUAUGGGAGAUUCACGGUUAAGGAACUAGGCAAAAUAGCCCCGUAACUUCGGGAAAAGGGGCGCCAGCGCGAGCUGGCCGCAGAAAAAUGGCUCAGGCGACUGUUUAACAAAAACACAGGGCUAUGCGAAAACGAGAGUUGAAGUAUAUGGCCUGACACCUGCCCGGUGCUGGAAGGUCAAGGGGAGACGUCACGCGCAAGCGGAAGCGUUGAGCCGAAGCCCCAGUAAACGGCGGCCGUAACUAUAACGGUCCUAAGGUAGCGAAAUUCCUUGUCGGGUAAGUUCCGACCUGCACGAAUGGUGUAACGAUCUGGGCACUGUCUCAGCUGUGAGCUCGGUGAAAUUGUAGUAUCGGUGAAGAUGCCGAUUACCCGCAACGGGACGGAAAGACCCCGUGAACCUUUACUGCAACUUAGCGUUGGAUCUGGGGAAGCGAUGUGUAGGAUAGGCCGGAGGCUUGGAGCCGGUGGCGCCAGCCAUCGGGGAGCCGCUGUUGAAAUACGGCCCUUUGCUUGUCCGGGUUCUAACCCCGAAGAGGGGGACAGCGCUUGGCGGGUAGUUUGACUGGGGUGGUCGCCUCCAAAAGCGUAACGGAGGCUUCUAAAGGUGCCCUCACGGCGAUUGGUAACCGCCGUUAGAGUGUAAUGGCAUAAGGGCGCUUGACUGGGAGACUGACAAGUCGAUCAGGUAGGAAACUAGAGCAUAGUGAUCCGGUGUUUCCGUAUGGAAGGGACAUCGCUCAAAGGAUAAAAGGUACUCCGGGGAUAACAGGCUGAUCCCUCCCAAGAGCUCAUAUCGACGGAGGGGUUUGGCACCUCGAUGUCGGCUCGUCACAUCCUGGGGCUGGAGAAGGUCCCAAGGGUUCGGCUGUUCGCCGAUUAAAGUGGCACGCGAGCUGGGUUCAGAACGUCGUGAGACAGUUCGGUCCCUAUCUGUUGCGGGCGUUGGAGAUUUGAGCGGAGCUGGCACUAGUACGAGAGGACCGUGCCGGACCGACCGCUGGUGAACCGGUUGCGCCGCCAGGUGCAUGGCCGGGUAGCCAAGUCGGGUCAGGAUAAGCGCUGAAAGCAUCUAAGCGCGAAGCCGUCCGCGAGAUGAGAUCUCCCUUGA